UUUCAGUCAGCAUGACUGGAACUUUGAUCAACAAAUCCCCAAGAGCCACAACCCGUCUUUUGUGAACAAGUAGUAUCAAGGUGGGGGUGGGCUUGGAGUGCACUGGAUGCUUUUCUUCUUUCAUCAUGAAACCUGGUGGUUUUGUGUCAUGUGAUAUGUUUUUCAGAGAUUCGGCAGGAAGCUUGCACCGAGUGAAGGAUUUAUAAAGAUUAUAGGAGAUAACACAAAGCUAUUUUAUCUCUUUAAAAAAAAUCAAAGGUGUAAGCUCAUCCUACACAUGUCAUUUGGACCAGACCAAGGCUGCUGUCAUGGAGGACCCACACCACAGCUUGGGAACCAUUCAUCUACCAGAGGGUCACAUGACUUCAAAUGACUCUUCUAGGGGCCACCUGCCAUGAUAGGGUACCAGCUCUUCCUCUGAAUUCCCAAUCCAUUUCUUGAGAACUACUGUUUCUAAUAAGAGGGGAAGAAGGUCAUGUGGGAAUCAGUUAAAUCACGUGUGGAUAGAAGACAAGUUCCAGCUUUGUGGGAAAUCCUGUAGCCUUCGCCAGGUACACCCUGACAAUCUCAGAACUGAUCAGAGUUUUUGUUCCAUGUGAGAUACCCACGCCACUUUAAAAAACAAACUAUCCUGACAUCUAAUUACUUUGUGAAUGAUUGUAAUGGCAAUAACAAUAGAGAUGGAAGAAUUUUGGAAACAAUACUAGUUUCACAGCUUUCAUGUGAGAUGCCAAGGUUUUAGCAUCGUCAGAUUGGCAAUGAGAUUGGAUAACUUCUGGGGUCUUUUUGAAAUUAUAUCUUUCUUUUCUCUAGGAUCCUACUUCUGGAAAAUAAGAUUAAUACUAAUACUAAUAAGACACAAAGAUUUUUAAUGGAAAUAGGAAUAUCUUCAAAGGCUGGAUGGACAUUGCAUGCACUGUAUGACAACAUUCGUGUAUAAUAAGAUCCUUUCCUUAGAGAAUGGGGCAAAUCCAGAUGGAAUGUGAGAAAGACUUCAAGGUUUCAGUGGAAUAUGCUUAUAUUGGGAAUUGUAUUAGUUAAGACUAGGUUUGGCUGCACAUGACAGAAAACCCAACAUAGUCACUUACACAGGAUUAAAACAUUUCCUUGUCAUAUGAAAGUCUAGAAGUGGUAUGUAGCUCUGGGUGUCAGGGAUGAAGAUUCCUUCUAACUGGGAACCCAGCUUCCCAUUUCAAAGAUUGCUUCAUAUUCAAAAUGGCUGCUGGGUCUCCAGGUAUAGAGUCCACCUUCCAGCUAGAAGAACAAAGAACCAAAAUGAGGCGUGUUCUCCCCUGUAAGGAUACUUUCGUAAGUUGAAUAGGAUGCUUUCAUAAGCAUCUCAUUGGCCAGACUGGUUAGAACUUAGUAACUGGCCACAAUCAGCUGGAAAGAAGGCUGGCAAAUAGAAUAUUUAAGGUGGUCACUGUAAUCAGCAAAAAAAUCAUGAGUUACAUAAUAUAUAGAAAAGGAGAACAAGCACAGAAUGACAACUAGCAGUGUCUGCAUAUCAUUCUUCCAAGCAAAUAAAUGGAA
rnacentral:lncRNA from 10 species